rnacentral:lncRNA from 1 species
CGCAGCUGUAUCCCUUCUAGACUUCACCGCGUGAACGAGUGGUGAACGCGCAUAGGAUUCAAGCGUUUUUCCGGUCGUUGUCCUGGAUACGCGUGCUGUGUUUCCGGUUAUGAUCAGAUGCUAACUCCGCUAACGGGCUGUCUGUGUUUUUACUUCAUCAGAUUUACGUUAAACAGAGAUAAACGAUGACCGCGAGUCGACGCUGUGUGGACAGAAUAUUGUCUAUCUUGUGUUUGGGUGUGUCCGCAUACACUGUUAGCAGAUACGCUUCAUAGAGGGGGAACUGGAAUUCCAGAAGGGAACAGAAUCGACUGCUACAAGGGCUUUCCUCCAACCUGGAGAUGGCAA